rnacentral:lncRNA from 1 species
ACAACAACACCAACAACAACAACAACACCAACGAUGACGACGACAACGUCAACAACAACGACAAUGACAAGAACAACGAGAACACCGACAACAACCACAACAAUGACAACAACAACAUUAACCACCACCACCAAAACAACAACGACGACGACGACGAUAACGACGACAACAAUGACAACGACGAGAACAACAACAACAAUGACAACAACAACAACAACACCAACAACAAUGACGACGACAAUAUUGACAACAGCGAUAGCAACGACAAC